CUCUGGAUGUCUUGGAACUGCUAAAAGAUCUCCCUGACUGCCUCCUGCAGGAUAGGAUUAAAGGAGGAAGAAGAAGUUUGGAAUCUGGCAUACAUGACGAAGAUACUUGUAUGCGAAGGCUGGUGUCUGCCAUGUUGUCACAAGGAAAGAAGCUUCCAGAACCCUAAAGCAGUCCCUUCUCCAGUGGGAACAUAAUUAUGCUCACACCCUGAGGAGUCGUUCCUCUCUCCAAUCAGUGAGUCAUGGACUGGGGCAGUAAUCCAGGCUACGGAGAGCCCCUCGGCGCGCUAUUAAACCAAACAUAUCCCGUCUACCCACCACAGGAGUUCAAUGAGGGCAGUACCGAGCCCCUGCCAUGCUUUGUCGGGCCCAUAAAUGACCAUCUGCCCCAAGGCUUUCUGUACCGGCCACCUUGGUCCACUUCCCUGCAGUAAGGAUGAACAGGUCCAAGGCAGUGUGUACCCUUAAUGUCAUUUCUCUGUGAGGAUGAUGAGGACUCGUUAACCUGUGCAUUCCAUGAGUAGAAGCCAGUGUACCUUUAUGAACUCAUGAAGGACAUCCAAUCUAUUCAUACUACUAGAAAUUCUAUUAGGAAAAACUGAAUGGAAAACUUAAAAUUUUGGGGGUUAGAUGUAUUAUUUAUCAUGAGGGUUAUGUACACAUGCCACAGUGUCCUGUGAAGACCAGGGAACACAGCCUUUGAGUCAGUUUUCCCUUUCUGCCAUGUGAGUCCCAGGGCUUAAG
rnacentral:sRNA from 1 species